UGCCUGUGAAGAUGACCAAGGUGGCGUGCAUUAGCUAAAAAUGGUUUGAAGAGCCCGAGGCAUGAGCUCGGUGCUUUGCGUUCGUUCUCACCUAUGACUCGCCUUUCCUCGUUCAAGAUGGGUAUCCUAUGGAUCUUCAUCUUCAGCAUCAAGGCUGCAGCAUCUGCAUAAGAACAGGUAGAUUAGAUUCUGAUCCUGAGAGUUAGGAGUGGAAUCAUGUAAGAUGUAUACCCGUGACUGUCUUCUCAGGCGACAGUGUGAUCGCUGGAGAGGACAUGACUUCACCGACGCUCGUCUUGGACUGCAAGAGAACAGAAGGUUUCAUGCCCGCAUCGAUCAAAACCCUAAAAGAAAGGUCAGUCACCAACUCCAAGUGAAGAGGCUCUACUCCCGUCGCUCCUGCAA
rnacentral:lncRNA from 1 species